AUGGGAGCUUUCUGCUCGUGUUUGCAAGCCGAUUACUCCGACCACCAUGGCAACGAGACUUCUGGUGCGUUUAGGAACUGCAUGUGCCUCAGGUGUUUUACCCAGCAGCUGAUCAAUGCUUACACUGUUUUAUUCCGAGUUGGAACGGUCCACUCUGUUUCUCAAGCUAUAGAAGCCACCCCACUUGAUUCAUCUGAAAGUUCAUUCGAUACAUAUCGUUCACCUCCAAGACCACUGCCAUAUGAUGAUCCUAGAUUCUCCCCUCCUCUGCGCGACUGGUUUGCAUCAAGGCAUGAUCCUUCAAGCCAUUCACCAGAGGAAUCAGAACCACUCAGACCAAAUUAUGAUGCGGAGAUGGAAACGAUGAGUUCAGUCGACAAGCCAAGUAAAACAAACUAUGACACAAAAAUGAAAAGAAGCAGCUCUGCUUACGGAGAUAAGUUGUCCCGAAAGGAAUCUGGAAAUUAUUUCACCUACUUUUCUCCAUCUACUGAAGAUGAAGAUGUCUGCCCAACAUGUCUUGAAGAUUAUACUUCGGAGAAUCCUAGGAUAGUAAUGCAGUGCUCACAUCACUUCCACCUUGGCUGUAUCUAUGAGUGGAUGGAAAGAAGUGAGGCAUGCCCUGUUUGUGGAAAGUGUUCAGAUCACCAUUCACCGCAAACAUGUAGUUAA
rnacentral:rRNA from 1 species